rnacentral:tRNA from 1 species
GGGCUCGUAGCGCAGCAUGGAUAGCGCGGCAGCCUCCUAAGCUGUAGGUCGUGGGUUCAAAUCCCACCGGGCCCG